AGUAGUUUGAUCCGUGGCUCGAGGACGACGCUGGCGGCGUGCUUAACACAUGCAAGUCGAACGGGGCGAUUAGAAGCUUGCUUUUAUGAGCCUAGUGGCAAACGGGUGAGUAACGCGUAGGCAACCUGCCUCUAAGAUGGGGACAACAGAGCGAAAGUUCUGCUAAUACCGAAUGUUGUGUCUUUACCGCAUGGUGGAGAUAUUAAAGAUGGCCUCUACUUGUAAGCUAUCACUUAGAGAUGGGUCUGCGUCCGAUUAGCUGGUUGGGGAGGUAACGGCUCACCAAGGCGACGAUCGGUAGCCGAUCUGAGAGGAUGACCGGCCACAUUGGGACUGAGACACGGCCCAGACUCC
rnacentral:rRNA from 1 species